GCCACCUUCUCUACACCUGGGAUCCAGUCAGCAUUUCAGGGCUCCCAGCAGCUCCCUGGCCUCCAUCCCAGACACAGUGCUGGAUUGGCAUGCGUACCACAAACCUUUCUGGAACCAGCCUUUGGAACAGUUCUCAGGAGGAAAUAAUGUUCCUGGGUGAUACUGGAGCUGUGGCAGACACAUCAAGACCAUGAAGAAAGGCAGAGGAUUGUGGAGGCUUUUCCUCAUUUCCCCCACAUCAUGGAGGUACUGAACCAAGUUUGGAACCACCUACUUCGAGGCUUCUUGUUAAGUGAGAUAAUUAAAUGACCAUAGUGCAUACAUUGUAUGAAUUAAAGUUUUCUAC